AUUGAACGCUGGCGGCAUGCCUUACACAUACAAGUCGAACGGCAGCGCGGGAGCAAUCCUGGCGGCGAGUGGCGAACGGGUGAGUAAUAUAUCGGAACGUGCCCAGUAGUGGGGGAUAGCCCGGCGAAAGCCGGAUUAAUACCGCAUGAGACCUGAGGGUGAAAGCGGGGGAUCGCAAGACCUCGCGCUACUGGAGCGGCCGAUAUCAGAUUAGCUAGUUGGUGGGGUAAAGGCCUACCAAGGCAACGAUCUGUAGUUGGUCUGAGAGGACGACCAGCCACACUGGGACUGAGACACGGCCCAGACUCCUACGGGAGGCAGCAGUGGGGAAUUUUGGACAAUGGGCGCAAGCCUGAUCCAGCCAUGCCGCGUGGGUGAAGAAGGCCUCGGUUGUAAGCCUUAGGUGGGAGGAAGGCGAUUCAUGCUAAUACCAUGGAUGAUUGACGUUACCCACAGAAUAA
rnacentral:rRNA from 1 species